rnacentral:rRNA from 1 species
AUGGGAAUGAUAUGGCAGGAGUUUGAGUCCGCCGUCUCGCGGAUGCAUCACCGACGAGGUCGGCUCAGUCUACUGACAGAGUCAAUCCAGAGUCACAUGGGAGGAAAAAAAGGUUAUGGCUGGGCAGUGAGCCAGCAGAUGACGAUGGACUCUAAAGUCAUGGGCUAUGGACUUGAUUGGCUAAAGAAGUUCAUGUUCCCGGUGCAUUUCAUGGAUUGCUGGUCAUUAUAUAUCCUGGAUACCGAUAAGAAGAUUGUGAUGGUGCUUGACCCAACGGAGACAAAUUUGUCGGAUGAGAUGAAAAUCAAACAUGGGCCUCUAGCAAGGAAGUUUCAGCAGAAGUUAUGCACCUAUUCAGUGACAUGUUCAGAGUCGGUUUGGUUGGGACCACUGGAUGGUCGUUUGUGUACCCUUUGGUGGCGCGGCACAAGCCAUGCAGUAGGGAAGACAAUGGCGUAUAUGUCGCUCACUACGUCCUAG